rnacentral:rRNA from 1 species
AAGUAUUGUGGAAGUUGGGUGAUGAAGGCUGAGCCAAGGAGAUCUAUUUUGAGUGGAUUUGGAUGGCUUCAAGAGACUAUUGCCACACCGGGAGAGACUUACACAAUGUUGAGAAUGACGGUAAGUGUGUUCUUUGAUCUUCAUGACUUGUUGGUACGUAAUUGUGGUCUAAAAGAAACAAGCUUUGUUAGCACUUACGAGUCUCUUGCUAUGUUCUUGUGGACAUUGGGAGGUUGUGAAUCAAAUAGAAGAACUCAAAACCGCUUCAAACAUUCAGCGGAUACAAUCCAUCGUAAAUUCCAUGAGGUUCUACAAUGUGUGGUCAACAUGGUAUCUCACUACCUUAAGCCACAAGAUCCAAACUUCCAUGUUGUGUAUGAUAUCAUUAAGACAAAUAGAAGGGCUUAUCCUCAUCUCAAAGAUUGCAUUGGUGCAAUCGAUGGGACUCAUAUAAGAGCUUCUAUUCUCGAUGGGCCUCAAAAAGUGAGGUAUAUUGGGAGAACUGGUGCGACAACUCAGAAUGUGAUGGGGUAUGUGACUUUGAUAUGCACUUCACUUAUGCUUCAAUUGGUCAACUGGGUUCUAUGCAUGAUACAAAUGUGUUAUUCCAUGCCAAUGAGAAGGACAUGCCCUCCUUCCCCCAUCCUCCAAAGAGUGAUCAAUUCUUUUCGUUACAAGUUUACAUGUAAUGUUGUCUAUCCUCCAACUAACAUGUAUGUGUGUUGUUGUUUUUAG